rfam:Acyrthosiphon pisum strain LSR1 Contig29804, whole genome shotgun sequence.
AAAACGGCUUUUAUCAAAGCCAACAACAAUAUAACAAAAUGAUAG